rnacentral:rRNA from 1 species
CCUACGGGAGGCAGCAGUGGGGAAUAUUGCACAAUGGGGGAAACCCUGAUGCAGCGACGCCGCGUGAGUGAAGAAGUAAUUCGUUAUGUUAAGCUCUAUCAGCAGGGCAGAAAAUGACGGUCCCUGAGUAAGAAGCCCCGGCUCACUACGUGCCAGCAGCCGCGGUAAUACGUAGGGGGCCAGUGUUAUCCGGAUUUACUGGGGGUAAAGGGGGCGUAGACGGCAGUGCAAGUCUGGAGUGAAAGGCGGGGGGUCAACCCCCGGACUGCUCUGGAAACUGUACGGCUGGAGUGCAGGAGAGGUAAGUGGAAUGCCCGGUGUAGCGGUGAAAUGCGUAGAUAUUAGGAAGAACACCAGUGGCGAAGGCGGCUUACUGGAUUGUAACUGACGUUGAGGCACGAAAGCGUGGGGAGCAAACAGGAUUAGAUACCCUAGUAGUC